GUGAUGAUCAACAGCCAGUUAAUAUUACUAUUUUUCUGUCUUUUCCUUCUUUUAUGUUCUGAGUGAUGAUCAUUAGCCGGUCGAUAUUACUAUUUUUUGUCAUUUUUGACUUUUACGUUCUGAGUGAUGAUCAUUGGCCAGUCGAUAUUACUAUUUUUUGUCAUUUUUUACUUUUACGUUCUGAGUGAUGAUCAUUAGCCAGUCGAUAUUACUAUUUUUUGUUAUUUAUGAAUUUUACGUUCUGAGUGAUGAUCAUUAGCCGGUCAAUAAUACUAUUUUUCUGUAUUUUUCUUACUUUUAUGUUCUGAAUGGUGAUAUAUUUAAGUGCAAUAUUUGAUUUACUUGAUUUUAUUACAGAUUGUACAGUUCCUAGUAAUGAGAAAUGGCUAGAUGUUAUACAAUAUCAUACUUCAUGAUGUCACCAACAAUGUCAUGUUCUGAGUAUUGGGAAAUAGUUGGAGACUCAGCAGUGCAGAAACUAGUUUACUCAGAAUGUUUGUUCCAACUCACGGAUGAUAUUGUCAGAUAAGAGCACAUUGGCAAGUUGCAGACGUUGACUUUCUGAAUUACAGAAAAUAGUUUCAGUCAGGAUACCAGAAAGCAUCAGGACUUCCAGGGCAUGGCUAUAGCUCCUCCUGAAAGAACAUUAGAAACACUUGAUUAUUUGUGUGAAAUACUUUGAAAUAAAAAAAGACUCUUUCUGCAUGAUUUAAUUCCUAAAGAAAAUCAAUAAACCUGAAGAAUGAUUUAUAUAUAUAUGCAUAUAUAUGUAAAAAUAUGUUCCAAUAAAAGUAUCAAUUAUUA